GGCGAGUUUGAUCCUGGCUCAGGACGAACGCUGGCGGCGUGCUUAACACAUGCAAGUCGAACGGUGAAACCCCUUCGGGGGUGGAUCAGUGGCGAACGGGUGAGUAACACGUGGGCAACCUGCCCCCAACACUGGGAUAACCUCGGGAAACCGGGGCUAAUACCGGAUAUGACCUCAGGCGACAUCUCUUGAGGUGGAAAGCUCCGACGGUUGGGGAUGGGCCCGCGGCCUAUCAGCUAGUUGGUGGGGUAAUGGCCUACCAAGGCGACGACGGGUAGCCGGCCUGAGAGGGCGACCGGCCACACUGGGACUGAGACACGGCCCAGACUCCUACGGGAGGCAGCAGUGGGGAAUAUUGCGCAAUGGGCGAAAGCCUGACGCAGCGACGCCGCGUGCGGGAUGAAGGCCUUCGGGUUGUAAACCGCUUUCAGCAGGGACGAAGCGAAAGUGACGGUACCUGCAGAAGAAGCACCGGCUAACUACGUGCCAGCAGCCGCGGUAAUAAUCA
rnacentral:rRNA from 1 species